rnacentral:rRNA from 1 species
CGUCCAGCCCGCUCAGAAACUACAAAUGAAGUUGACGGGGCCCGCACAAGCGGAGGAGCAUGUGGUUAAUUCGAUGAUACGCGAGGAACCUUACCUGGGCUCGAACGUAAGAUGACUGUAGGUGAAAGCUUACAUCUCUUCGGAGCAUUUUACGAGGUGCUGCAUGGUUGUCGUCAGCUCGUGCCGUGAGGUGUCGGGUUAAGUCCCAUAACGAGCGCAACCCCUACCUUUAGUUGCCAUCAGGUUAAGCUGGGGACUCUAAAGGAACUGCCUACGCAAGUAGUGAGGAAGCGGGGAUGACGUCAAAUCAGCACGGCCCUUACGUCCAGGGCUACACACGUGCUACAAUGGCCGAUACAGAGGGCAGCUACCUGGUGACAGGAUGCAAAUCUCCAAAGUCGGUCUCAGUUCGGAUCGGAGUCUGCAACCCGACUCCGUGAAGUUGGAUUCGCUAGUAAUCGCGCAUCAGCCAUGGCGCGGUGAAUACGUUCCCGGGCCUU